AAACUUCGCGGUUUUUCUGUCCCGUGACCGCAGCGAUCCUAACGUUUGGGGGCUGUACUACCUAAAUGAACGUUCUUGUUCUAUUUUAUAGUUAUUACUAGGUUACUCAUUAACUCCGGAGUUUUUACUACACAAGUGAACCUAAAGGUUGCAGUUCGAGAUUGCGAAAAUAAGAGCGCCACCCAAAGUGGAAAACGGGAACUGCGCAGUCGUCCUAUCUCUCACGGCGAAAAAGGGGCGUUUCUUUUCGCGCGCCCAUGUAUGCUACAACCUGCGGUGUCCCAAAGGCCGCUUUUACCGCUGUAAAGUUGGUUUUAGCGAAACCCAUGCAAGAUUCAGCCAAACAGACGCAUCCAUGGAUUCUCGCCGUCAUCACAAAUCGUGCUGCGCUGAGUGGUGUCGGAAUUCUUCACGACACACCGGCAUAAAAUUCUUUCGGAUCCCGGCGGACAAAAGAUCUCGCGCUUGGCUUCAGUAUGCGAGACGGCAGGACCUGGCUCAUUUACCACCUCGUCAGAUCUACAGCAGCUACCGCCUGUGCUCUGCCCAUUUCACCAGCAGAGGCUACGCAGACCCUGGACAGACAAGGCGGCUAAGAUGUGCUGUGCCAACAGUUUCCAUCUUUGGCGAUGAGCAGACACACGUCGAAAGUCCAGGCUCUCCUCGGCCCGCGAAUACCACUGCAAUGCCCACUCACAGCGCCGAUGAAGAAGUUCAACAGACUGAGCCCUCAUGUACGCAAAUUGUAUUGCUCUCUAAGCUCUUUAAAACUAUUCCAGAUAAAUUAAUGCCCUGCA